rnacentral:rRNA from 1 species
CAGUCGCCGCGGGAAUACAGAGGGUGCAAGCGUUAAUCGGAAUUACUGGGCGUAAAGCGCGCGUAGGUGGUUUGUUAAGUUGGAUGUGAAAGCCCCGGGCUCAACCUGGGAACUGCAUCCAAAACUGGCAAGCUAGAGUACGGUAGAGGGUGGUGGAAUUUCCUGUGUAGCGGUGAAAUGCGUAGAUAUAGGAAGGAACACCAGUGGCGAAGGCGACCACCUGGACUGAUACUGACACUGAGGUGCGAAAGCGUGGGGAGCAAACAGGAUUAGAUACCCCAGUAGUCCCUGUCUCUUAUCC